rnacentral:rRNA from 1 species
AGAGUUUGAUCCUGGCUCAGGAUGAACGCUGGCGGCGUGCCUAAUACAUGCAAGUCGGACGGAUGUAGCAAUACAUUAGUGGCGAACGGGUGAGUAACACGUAGGUGACCUGCCCUAAAGAGGGGAAUACCACUUCGAAAGGAGUGAUAAAACCGCAUAAACUUAUAGAAAUCAGAAAGCUAUAAGGAAAAGAGCGAUCUACUUUAGGAGGGGCCUGCGGCCCAUCAGCUAGUUGGUAGAGGUAACGGCCUACCAAGGCGAAGACGGGUAGGGGACCUGAGAGGGUGAUCCCCCACAAUGGAACUGAAACACGGUCCAUACACCUGCGGGUGGCAGCAGUAGGGAAUAUUGCUUAAUGGGCGAAAGCCUGAAGCAGCAACGCCGCGUGGACGAAGAAGGCCUUCGGGUUGUAAAGUUCUUUUAUAUGGGAUGAGGAAGGACAGUACCAUAUGAAUAAGUCUCGGCUAAGUACGUGCCAGCAGCCGCGGUAAUNC